rnacentral:rRNA from 1 species
GGCCGUCCGAGUUGUAAUCUAGAGAAGCGUUUUCCGCGCUGGACCGUGUACAAGUCUCCUGGAAGGGAGCGUCAUAGAGGGUGAGAAUCCCGUCUUUGACACGGACGACCAAGUGCUAUGUGAUGCGCUCUCGACGAGUCGAGUUGUUUGGGAAUGCAGCUCAAAACGGGUGGUAAAUUCCAUCUAAAGCUAAAUACAGGCGAGAGACCGAUAGCGAACAAGUACCGUGAGGGAAAGAUGAAAAGAACUUUGGAAAGAGAGUUAAACAGUACGUGAAAUUGCUGAAAGGGAAACGCUUGAUGUCAGUCGCGUCGGCCGGGGAUCAACCUUGCUUCUCGCUGGGUGUACUUCCCGGUCGACGGGUCAGCAUCGGUUUCGGUCGCCGUACAAUGGCGAGGGGAAUGUGGCACCCUUUGGGGUGUGUUAUAGCCUUUCGUCGUAUGCGGUGGUCGGGACCGAGGAACUCGGCACGGCUUCGGUCUGUGCUUAGGAUGCUGGCAUAAUGGCCUUAAGCGACCCGUCUUGAAACACGGACCAAGGAGUCUAACAUGCCUGCGAGUGUUUGGGUGGCAAACCCAAGCGCGAAAUGAAAGUGAAAGUCGAGACCUCUGUCGUGGAGGGCAUCGACGCCCGGACCUGAGUCUUUGACGACGGAUCUGCGGUAGAGCAUGUAUGUUGGGACCCGAAAGAUGGUGAACUAUGCCUGAAUAGGGUGAAGCCAGAGGAAACUCUGG